CCUACGGGUGGCAGCAGUGGGGAAUCUUGCACAAUGGGCGAAAGCCUGAUGCAGCGACGCCGCGUGGGGGAUGAAGCAUUUCGGUGUGUAAACCCCUUUCGACCGGGAAGAAUGCCUCGCAAGAGGAGUGACGGUACCGGUAUAAGAAGCCCCGGCUAACUACGUGCCAGCAGCCGCGGUAAUACGUAGGGGGCGAGCGUUGUCCGGAGUUACUGGGCGUAAAGGGCAUGCAGGCGGUCGUACGCGUUUUGUGUGACAGCGGGUGGCUUAACUAUCCGAGUAUGCGAAAGACGGUAUGACUUGAGGGCUCGAGAGGGACACGGAAUUCCGGGUGGAGUGGUGAAAUGCGUAGAGAACCGGAGGAACACCGAAGGCGAAGGCAGUGUCCUGGCGAGUGACUGACGCUGAGAUGCGAGAGCCAGGGGAGCGAACGGGAUUAGAUACCCGGGUAGUC
rnacentral:rRNA from 1 species